GUCCCAUUCGUUUUCUUUAAUAAAAUACUAUUAUCAUAACCCCUAUUAAGCGGACACUCCUCUUCAACGGACGCGGACACCUUACUUGAGGUCCCAAUGGGCAAACCAACCUCUCUUAAGCGGACAGAUGACAGAUUAUCUGAUAAAAUGUAUUCAAUAUUCGACAGUAAAUAACAACUGAGAUCAAUUUACAUGGCACAUUGACAGUGACACACCAAUUUGGAGAACUCGCACAAUUUCGAGGUUUGGAAGAACUUUCCAACGCCAUUUUUAUGUAAAUGACAUUAUAAUGGGCUAUCGUCUGCGUGAGCCUCGGCAGCAAAUUUGUAUUGAUUCCUUUUUUAUAUGACUGUGAGAGACGUAUACAUUUUCUAAUGAACUUUUAUGCACAAAUAAAUUUUCAUUUUAUGCUAAUUAUUUCCUAGAUAUUUUUUACUGUUUUGAUACUCUAAUU